rnacentral:rRNA from 1 species
AUCGAACGCUGGCGGCAGGCCUAACACAUGCAAGUCGAGCGGAUGAAGCGAGCUUGUUCCUGGAUCCAGCGGCGGACGGGUGUGUAAUGCCUAUGAAUCUGCCUGGCAGGGGUGUAUAAUGUCCUGAAACGAGCGCUAAUACUGCCUACGUCCUGAUGCUGAUACAGGGGGAGCUUUGGACCUUUUGCUCUCAUAUGAACCUAGGUCGGUUUAGCUAGUUUGUGGGUUAAAGGCCUACCUAGGCGACGAUUGGUAACUGGCCUGUGAGGAUGAUAAGUCACACUGGAGCUGGGACGGGGUCCAGACUACUAAGGGAGGCAGCAGUGGGGAAUAUUGGACAAUGGGCGGAAGCAUGAUCCAGCCAUGCCGCGUGUGUGAAAGAGGUCUUCGGAUUGGAAAGCAGGUUAAGGUGGGGGGAAGGGCAGUAAGUUAAUACCUUGCUGUUUUGACGUUAACAACAGAAUAAGCACCGGCUAACUUCGUG